rnacentral:rRNA from 1 species
GCUGAGUAGAGCGGCGGACGGGUGAGUAACGCGUAGGAAUCUACCUGGUAGUGGGGGAUAACUUGGGGAAACUCAAGCUAAUACCGCAUACGCCCUACGGGGGAAAGCAGGGGAUCUUCGGACCUUGCGCUAUCAGAUGAGCCUGCGUCGGAUUAGCUAGUUGGUAGGGUAAAGGCCUACCAAGGCGACGAUCCGUAGCUGGUCUGAGAGGAUGAUCAGCCACACUGGAACUGAGACACGGUCCAGACUCC